CCGCAAAAUAAAUCCCUCUUUGGCACUGAAUUUUGCAUGUUAUUUAGUAUUUUUGUAUCACGUUAUGAUUAAAAUGGACAUAUUUCUUGAAUAAUACUUUUAAUCUGUCAAAUGAUAGGAAAAAUAUUAGUCCUCAUACUUUGUUUUGGAUUUGUUACUUUUUGUGAUAGAUAGGGGUACCAAAGCCUUGGUAUUUCCAGAGGGUAUUAAAAUACAAAAUUAGCCUGUGACAG